UUUCUUCCCUUAUUUUCCAAAAAAAAAACAGAGAAACCUCUCUCUCUCUCUCUUUCAAAACCCAGAAUCCGGCUGGCCAGCUCACCAAACCACUGCGUCGGCCGUCGGUCGCCAGCGACGGCGCCGCCGUACGCGGUGGUCGGGAAUCCAGAAACUCUCCGUUUUCCCUCGCUCUUUGCCGUUUCAAAUCCUAGGCCUCAGCCCAUUCAACUCCGAUUCACCCAGAGGAGAAGAAGGCUUCAUCGGCGCACCCACGAAGGUAAAACUCCUUCUCCUUUCCUCUAUUUAUUUUAUUACUUAUAUAUAUAUACAUCAAAACGAAGAACAGAUUGAAGAGAGAAAAAUAACAACUUUGAAAUCACCUUUAAGAACUGUUUUUUAUUGCUUUUCUUUCAAGGAUUUCAUACAAUAUUCGUCCCACCCCUCUUUCGUUUGGUUUCAUCCCUUUUUAUAUCGAAAAUACUCGGUAAUAAAAAGAGAAAAAUAUCAAAAUCUCAUUCCCUUUUCGCUAUUUUUGUCUUCUUCCGUUUUUGCUGCUUUGGCUUGUUUGUUUGCUGCAGGUACUGGAGUACGGAGGUGGACGUGGCACGUACAGAGGCGCGCGUGAGGCCGAGGGAAAGCCCUGGUGGCUGCGGCGUUGGAGGCCAGCCAUUGCUGCUAGGGUUUCUGGUUCUUUUUCUGUUUUGGGCUAGAUGUAGUUGGGUUUAGGUUUGGGCUGAUUGGGUUUUCUGGAUAUUGGGUUAUGUGGGUAUUGUAAUUGGAUUUAGUGAUUGGGCUUCAAUACGAAUUUGGCCAUUGUAAUUGGACUAUUUUUUAUUGGGUUUAUGAUUGGUUUAUGGGCCGGGCAAAAAUGGGUAUUACAAUAUCAUAAAUGGAAAUUAAGGUGUUGAAUAACAAUAGGGAUAGUCUGAAGCAAUAACUUUGUAAUUUUUCCAAAGUUGAGGGCGUUACUGAAAUUUUACCAAAAUUGGGGCGCCACCUGACCGGAUUUAAAAGGAAAUAUAAAGGAAGAGGCGUGAAUCGAUAUUGGGCAAGAAAAGUAGAAUAAGUCAUGCUUGACCAUUUAUGGUCAUGUUCUACAACAAUGAAUACAUAAUCUAUUUUUACCAUGGUUCCUUAGUGCAGAAAAAUUAAAAGGAAAG
rnacentral:lncRNA from 1 species